UAGGGCAACGAAACAUCAUUAAGUCCUGCCGGAGUCUUAGCUGCUGACUUCGAAGGCGGUAUGAGGCCAUCUGAUUCCCAUGAGGUUUCCCAGCUGAAUG
rfam:Parasporobacterium paucivorans DSM 15970 genome assembly, contig: EJ69DRAFT_scaffold00017.17